rnacentral:rRNA from 1 species
UGGGGAAUAUUGUGCAAUGGGGGAAACCCUGACACAGCAACGCCGCGUGAGCGAUGAAGGCCUUCGGGUCGUAAAGCUCUGUCUUUGGGGACGAUAAUGACGGUACCCAAGGAGGAAGCCACGGCUAACUACGUGCCAGCAGCCGCGGUAAUACGUAGGUGGCGAGCGUUGUCCGGAAUUACUGGGCGUAAAGGGUGCGUAGGCGGAAAUUUAAGUCAGAUGUGAAACUCCCGGGCUUAACCUGGGAACUGCAUUUGAAACUGGAUUUCUAGAGUGCAGGAGAGGAAAGCGGAAUUCCUAGUGUAGCGGUGAAAUGCGUAGAUAUUAGGAAGAACACCAGUGGCGAAGGCGGCUUUCUGGACUGCAACUGACGCUGAGGCACGAAAGCGUGGGGAGCAAACA